rnacentral:rRNA from 1 species
GACGAACGCUGGCGGCGUGCCUAAUACAUGCAAGUUGAGCGAUGAAGAUUGGUGCUUGCCCCAAUUUGAAGAGCAGCGAACGGGUGAGUAACGCGUGGGGAAUCUGCCUUUGAGCGGGGGACAACAUUUGGAAACGAAUGCUAAUACCGCAUAACAACUUUAAACAUAAGUUUUAAGUUUGAAAGAUGCAAUUGCAUCACUCAAAGAUGAUCCCGCGUUGUAUUAGCUAGUUGGUGAGGUAAAGGCUCACCAAGGCGAUGAUACAUAGCCGACCUGAGAGGGUGAUAGGCCACAUUGGGACUGAGACACGGCCCAAACUCCUACGGGAGGCAGCAGUAGGGAAUCUUCGGCAAUGGACGAAAGUCUGACCGAGCAACGCCGCGUGAGUGAAGAAGGUUUUCGGAUCGUAAAAAUCUGUUGGUAGAGAAGAACGUUGGUGAGAGUGGAAAGCUCAUCAAGUGACGGUAACUACCCAGAAAGGGACGGCUAACUACGUG